rnacentral:rRNA from 1 species
UACGUAGGGGGCGAGCGUUGUCCGAAGUUACUGGGCGUAAAGCGCGCGUAAGCGGGCUUUUAAGUCGGAUGUGAAAUCUCCACGGCUCAACCGGGAAACCGCAUCCGAAACUGGAAGCCUUGAGGUAUGGAGAGGGAAGUGGAAUUCCUGGUGUAGCGGUGAAAUGCGUAGAUAUCAGGAGGAACACCCGUGGCGAAGGCGGCUUCCUGGCCAUAUCCUGACGCUGAGGUGCGAAAGCCAGGGGAGCGAACGGG